rnacentral:rRNA from 1 species
GUGGGGAAUUUUGGACAAUGGGCGCAAGCCUGAUCCAGCAAUGCCGCGUGCAGGAAGAAGGCCUUCGGGUUGUAAACUGCUUUUGUACGGAACGAAAAGGCUCUGGUUAAUACCUGGGGCUCAUGACGGUACCGUAAGAAUAAGCACCGGCUAACUACGUGCCAGCAGCCGCGGUAAUACGUAGGGGGCAAGCGUCAAUCGGAAUUAUUGGGCGUAAAGCGUGCGCAGGCGGUUUUGUAAGACAGACGUGAAAUCCCCGGGCUCAACCUGGGAAUUGCGCUUGAGACUGCAAGGCUGGAGUGCGGCAGAGGGGGAUGGAAUUCCGCGUAUAGCAGUGAAAUGCAUAGAUAUGCGGAGGAACACCGAUGGCGAAGGCAAUCCCCUGGGCCUGCACUGACGCUCAUGCACGAAAGCGUGGGGAGCAAACAGGAUUAGAAACCCGGGUAGUCC